GCAAUGAAGAAGCUGACACUAACCGAUGUUGCCUAUAGAUUGGCUCUUCCAACUCAUUUUUUUAAGCGUCUUCUUCUUCCACGUUUCGUUGGGACAUCGCAUUUUGUUGAUUUGAAGGUGAAGUACAAGAACCAGAAGCUGGACUUCCGUUGCACCAAAAGGAAGAAGGGUGAGUAUGAUAAGCCUGUGCUUACUAAGGGUUGGCUUGAUUUUGUUCGGC
rnacentral:misc_RNA from 1 species